CUACGGGAGGCAGCAGUGAGGAAUAUUGGUCAAUGGGCGCAAGCCUGAACCAGCCAUCCCGCGUGCAGGAAGAAGGCGCUAUGCGUUGUAAACUGCUUUUGCAGGGGAAGAAUGUCUCGUAUGUAUACGGGAUUGCCGGUACCUUGUGAAUAAGCAUCGGCUAACUCCGUGCCAGCAGCCGCGGUAAUACGGAGGAUGCGAGCGUUAUCCGGAUUUAUUGGGUUUAAAGGGUGCGUAGGCGGAUUGAUAAGUCAGUGGUGAAAUACUGCAGCUUAACUGUAGAAUUGCCGUUGAUACUGUCAGUCUUGAGUAUGGUUAAGGUAGGCGGAAUGUGUAAUGUAGCGGUGAAAUGCUUAGAUAUUACACAGAACACCGAUUGCGAAGGCAGCUUACUGAGCCAAAACUGACGCUGAGGCACGAAAGCGUGGGGAGCGAACAGGAUUAGAUACCCCGGUAGA
rnacentral:rRNA from 1 species